rnacentral:rRNA from 1 species
AACGCACCUUGCGCCCCUUGGUAUUCCGAGGGGCACACCCGUUUGAGUGUCGUGAAUACUCUCAACCUUCUCGGUUUCUUUGACCAGGAAGGCUUGGACUUUGGAGGUUUUCCUUGCUGGCCUCUUUUGAAGCCAGCUCCUCCUAAAUGAAUUGGUGGGGUCCACUUUGGCGAUCCUCGACGUGAUAAGGAUUUCUUCUACGUCUUGGGUUUCGCAGUGUAACCGCUUUCUAACCGUCUUUGAAGAAAGACAAUGUUCAUAAACCUUGACCUCAAAUCGGGUGAGACUACCCGCUGAACUUAA